GGAGAGGUGCCCGAGUGGUUGAAGGGAACGGUCUUGAAAACCGUAAGGCCAGCAAUGGCCUCGUGGGUUCGAAUCCUACCCUCUCCGCCA
rnacentral:tRNA from 1 species